ACCCUUGCUCAACUUGUUGUUAUUCUCCCUGAGCGAUGGCGUCCAAAAAGCCUGAUAAAACCUAUGAAGAAAUGGUCAAGGAAGUAGAAAGGCUUAAACUGGAGAAUAAAACACUUAAACAAAAGGUUAAGUCUUCAGGCGCUGUCUCAUCAGAUGAUAGCAUCUUGACAGCUGCCAAGAGAGAAAGUAUCAUUGUCUCUUCAUCCAGAGCACUAGGAGCAGUGGCUAUGAGAAAAAUCGAGGCUAAAGUCAGAUCCCGGGCGGCCAAAGCUGUUACAGAGCAGGAACUAACCUCUCUUCUCCAAUCGCUGACCCUGAGAGUUGACGUGUCUAUGGAGGAAACUACUGUGGGUGCCAGCGGAGGGAUUGGCCCAUCCUCUCAAACAGAGACCAAGAAAAGAAGACCCAGGUCCAAAUCAAGACACAGACAUGAUCAUGAAUAAAAAGAAACACUUGAAUCUAUAA
rnacentral:tmRNA from 1 species